GCGGGAGUGGCGGAAUUGGCAGACGCGCCAGGUUGAGGGCCUGGUGGGAAUUACAUCCCGUGUGGGUUCGAGUCCCACCUCCCGCA
rnacentral:tRNA from 1 species